rnacentral:lncRNA from 1 species
UUUAUAUAUAUAACACUCCCAAUCUACAAAUAUGUAAGACAAACACUCCCAAAAUAAUUCAAUGCACAACAAACUCCAACGUUCAACAUCCUCAACCAAAAUGCUGAGUUUUAUAUCUCCAGAGUCUCAAAGAUAAUAUUAUCACUAAUAUUAAUAUCUCAGUUUAUUCUUAAUCCCAAAAUAAUAAUAUAACAAAAUUAUAUAAUCCCAACAUAACGAGAUAACCAAGAUGUCCUAACAAAAACAUCUAUAUCUUUUAACACCAUCACGUGGCCAAGACUCAAAAUAUAUUUACAGUCGCUCGGUCAGUCUGGUGUACCUGCAACCUCCUGGUGAGGGGAAAAAUAUAAUAAAAACGAGGUGAGUUUAAAACUCAGUGAGAUAGUGAGUGGAUAGUAGUUUUUUGAAAAUUAAUUCUUACUUUUAAAAGAAAUAAUCAUAUCAUUUCCAAACACGAUUUCAUCAAACCAUAAACGAGAAACCAGUAAUAAAUCAUUUAACAUUUAAACCAGAUUACUAACCAUGAAAAGCAUAUAUAACGAUCAUACAUAAUAAUCAUGGAAAUCAUAUCACAAUAUCAUAUAGAAUACACAAGAAUGAAAAUCAUCCCUAAACAAGUACCCAGGAAAAUAAUCUCGUCAUAUCCGGACCUCAACGGACGGGCAAUAACGUACUAUCUGGGUACCGUCACGCCCUGGAGCUACACGGAUAUACAGGGAAAUACCAUCUCAUAUCUCAUUAUAUCUGUGCAUGCAUAAUCUAGUCCCCAAAGGACAAAAGCGCCCAAGGUCUGUAUCUCAUUUGUAUCAUAUGUGUCGUCUGUAUCUCAAUAUCUGUCUGUAUCUCAUAUCUGUAUCUCUAUAAUCAUCAUACUGCAUGCAUAUGCCCCCAAAAGGCAAAAGCGCCCAAACACGCGGCCCAAAGCCUCUAUGUGUGUUCAGAUGGGCCCCAAAGACCUCUUAUCUCAUCUCAUCUGUAUCACUGUAUCUGGAGGGGAGGGUACUGUCCAAUGCUUUCAAAAACAAUCUCUAUACUCAUAUUCAUGUAUAUUCUAAUCAUACUUUAAAUCAUACAUUUCUUUUCAUUAUCACAUCUAAAUCCACUUUUCUCAUCUUUAAAAUACUAUCAUAUUUCAUUCAAAGUCGACACAGAAAACCACUAACCAAACAUUUUAAUAUAAUAUUAAUGCGUGAAUAAAAUCCAUUUCGAGAAAUCAUUAAAUCUGAACAUUUUAAACACUUAUUUCACAAACAUCCAUUACUGUCAUAAUUAACUAUAAAAAUAGGUUUUGUAUAUUCCACUCACAGUGACGGCAUUCACGCUCGAUUAUCGUCCACGUCCGCGGACUGGUUCUCGCUCGCAGAUCCUCCUAAAUCAAGGAAACGACAUAAUUAUUUUCUGUAAAUCAGAAUUAGGACUAAAUUUAUUCAAUAAACUCGAAACGAACAUCUAUCCAUAAUUUACAACUCCCGUGUCGGUAAAAUUACUAAAAUGCCCUCGAGUCCGUAAAUCAUUAAAAUACUUCGAAAUCUUAAAUCACCGAAUUACCCUCGGAAUCAUAAUUACAUCCAACUCUCAAUUUCAGGAAUUACUAAAAUAUCCACAGGCUUAGAAAUUACAAAAUUGCCCUCAUAGUGUGAAAUUACCGAAAUGCCCUUGCCGGUCAACGGUCACCGGAAUUUAGUCAACGCUUUCCGGAAAGCUCAAGUCUGAAAGUUCCAAUCACAUUGAGUUCAAUGGUACCGGCGGUGAGCUUGCGCGGCAACGACGCCGGAAUCUAGCUCGACAGCCGUGAGUUUCCAACAAUUGGCCGACGACAAAACAGUGACUCCCGGUGCCUAUGGAUACUCGAAAAUGGAAGAGGGAGUCGUGAGGAACAAAAUCCAACCGGUGGUGUCACCCGAAACUGGUGAAAAUUCCGACAGAACAAAGCGAAAUAGUCGCGGGUUUUCAAGCUUCGAUCGCCAGCGUUCCGGUUGGUUUUUUGCGGCGAGGAUGGUAGGGGAACGAUGACCAGCUUUUAAGCUUCAGAUUGGUACCAAGCUUGACUGGAACGGUGGUCGAAAAUGGGAGAUAUGGCCAGGUCACGUUUGCGGGUCGGGUCGGGUUUUCGGGUCUGUAGUUAGGCCGGUUUGGCAGCUUCUGUCUCACUCUCACACACAUGUAUCUCUGUUUUUGCUCUGUUUUUCCAGCUUCUUCUUUUGCUUUUACUAACUUCGUAACUGCCGCUUUUUG